GAUGAACGCUGGCGGCGUGCCUAAUACAUGCAAGUCGAGCGAACGGACCACUAUCUUGCGUCUCUCAUGUUACCGGCGGACGGGUGAGUAACACGUGGCUAACCCACCUAUAUGACUUGGCUAACUUCGGGAAACCCUAGUAACUACCGGAUACUCUUUUGACCCGCAUGGUUCAAAAGUGUAAGAGCGUCUUGCUGUCAAUUAUCGACGGAUCCGCGCUGCAUUAGCUAGUUGGUAAGGUAACGCCUUACCAAGGCAGCGAUGCAUAACCGACCUGAGCGGGUGAUCGGCGACUGGGGAACUGAGACACGAUCCUGACACCGACGGGAGGCAGCAGUAGGGAAGCUUCCGAGAUGGGGGGAAGCCUGACGGAGGAGCGCCAGGUGGGUGAUGAAGGGCUGCGGAUCGUAAAACGCUGUUAUUGGGGUAGAACGUAUGUGUAAAUGACUGUGCACAGCGUGACGGUACCUAAUCAGAAAGCCACGGCUAACUACGUG
rnacentral:rRNA from 1 species